rnacentral:rRNA from 1 species
GGCUCAGGAUGAACGCUAGCGACAGGCCUAACACAUGCAAGUCGAGGGGCAGCGGGGAGGUAGCAAUACCUUUGCCGGCGACCGGCGCACGGGUGAGUAACACGUAUGCAAUCCACCUGUAACGAGGGGAUAACCCGGAGAAAUCCGGACUAAUACCCCAUGAUAUGGGCUCUCCGCAGUGGGGGGGUCCCAUUAAAGAGAGCAAUCUUGGUUACAGACGAGCAUGCGCUCCAUUAGCCAGUUGGCGGGUAACGGCCCACCAAGGCGACGAUGGAUAGGGGUUCUGAGAGGAAGGCCCCCCACAUUGGAACUGAGACACGGUCCAAACUCCUACGGGAGGCAGCAGUGAGGAAUAUUGGUCAAUGGACGAGAGUCUGAACCAGCCAAGUAGCGUGAAGGAUGAAGGUCUUACGGAUUGUAAACUUCUUUUAUAAGGGAAUAAACCCUCCCACGUGUGGGAGCUUGUAUGUACCUUAUGAAUAAGCAUCGGCUAACUCCGUG